CUUCGGGUGAAGGUGGCGGACGGGUGAGUAACGCGUAAAGAACUUGCCUUACAGACUGGGACAACAUUUGGAAACGAAUGCUAAUACCGGAUAUUAUGAUUGGGUCGCAUGAUCUGGUUAUGAAAGCUAUAUGCGCUGUGAGAGAGCUUUGCGUCCCAUUAGUUAGUUGGUGAGGUAACGGCUCACCAAGACGAUGAUGGGUAGCCGGCCUGAGAGGGUGAACGGCCACAAGGGGACUGAGACACGGCCCUUACUCCUACGGGAGGCAGCAGUGGGGAAUAUUGGACAAUGGACCAAAAGUCUGAUCCAGCAAUUCUGUGUGCACGAAGAAGUUUUUCGGAAUGUAAAGUGCUUUCGGUUGGGAAGAAGUCAGUGACGGUACCAACAGAAGAAGCGACGGCUAAAUACGUGCCAGCAGCCGCGGUAAUACGUAUGUCGCAAGCGUUAUCCGGAUUUAUUGGGCGUAAAGCGCGUCUAGGCGGCUUAGUAAGUCUGAUGUGAAAAUGCGGGGCUCAACCCCGUAUUGCGUUGGAAACUGCUAAACUAGAGUACUGGAGAGGUAGGCGGAACUACAAGUGUAGAGGUGAAAUUCGUAGAUAUUUGUAGGAAUGCCGAUGGGGAAGCCAGCCUACUGGACAGA
rnacentral:rRNA from 1 species